GACAGAGGGUGCAAACGUUGUUCGGAAUUACUGGGCGUAAAGGGCGCGUAGGCGGCCUUCUAAGUCGAACGUGAAAUCCCUGGGCUCAACCCAGGAACUGCGUCCGAUACUGGAAGGCUUGAAUCCGGGAGAGGGAUGCGGAAUUCCAGGUGUAGCGGUGAAAUGCGUAGAUAUCUGGAGGAACACCGGUGGCGAAGGCGGCAUCCUGGACCGGCAUUGACGCUGAGGCGCGAAAGCCAGGGGAGCAAACGGG
rnacentral:rRNA from 1 species